rnacentral:rRNA from 1 species
GUCUGGCCUGCCCACUGAAUUGUUUUAAAGGGCCGCGGUAAUUUGACCGUGCGAAGGUAGCAUAAUCAGUAGUCUUUUAAUUGAAGGCUGGAAUGAAUGGUCGGACAAAGAGUUAGCUGUCUUUAUAUAAAGUUUGAAUUUUACUUUUAAGUGAGAAGGCUUAAAUAUACUAGUGGGACGAUAAGACCCUAUAAAACUUUACAAACACUACUUAACUUUUGAAUUGGAGUUUAACAUUAGUUAUUGUUAAUGUUUGUUAUGUUGGGGCGACAAAGAUAUAAUUUAAGUAACUGUCAGUUUUAUUAUAUAAUUAUAAUUAGUUUAAUUGAUCCUUUAUUAGAGAUUAUAAGAUCAAGUUACUUUAGGGAUAACAGCGUAAUUUUCUCUGAGAGUCCAUAUCGACGAGAGUAGUUGCGACCUCGAUGUUGAAUUAAGAUUUCCUUUAGGUGAAGCAGUUUAAAUGGUAGGUCUGUUCGACCUU